UCAUGUUUUCUUCCCUCAAAUCCACAAAAAAUGAAAUGUCAGAUAUGUUUUCAGAAUGACCUGAAACCUCUCCAUUAAGUGAUCAUGUCGCCAUGUUGUCCUGCACUUUAAUAAAAUGUUGGAUGCGGGAUUUUGUGGCACAGAACGUUGGUAACACACACACAUAUAAUUUUAUAUUAAACAACAAAAUGUGGUUUGAACUGUGUGUAGCGCUUGGAUGUUAAGUUUUAUCCGAAUUCGCGGUGCGUAAAAGCGCAUUUUCAGCGCAAAAUACGCGUUUUGGCUCCGGGUAUUUUCACCCACUUGUCCCGACCCCAGCGUCCUCCUGUGUUCCCGGUCAGGGCUGCCUCUUUACGGCACCACAAGGCUCAGCGUUUCCUAUUACGCCGUCAGCAGACCCCUUUCACUGCAGCCUGUGUGUGAUCCGCGGCCACGCCGCCCAGACCAGGAACAAAGGAAAUCGGUACAAAAUACGCCACCGAGAAAAUGCUACAAAAUGAUUUCCAGAGGAAAAUCCGACGUGAAACUCACCAGACAUGAUGACUUUGAUGAAGAGAGGCUCCCUGGAGAAGACCUGUGGGACUCCACAACGUCCUUUUCUGCCUCAGCAAAAUGGCCAAGAACGAAAUUUGUGCAAAAGUCUCCAAAAAUCUCAACACAAAUGUCCUACAGCAGAGCUAGAGCAUACAACAAUAUUGUAAUAUAGCUGGGGACAUAUUAGUUUGAGAUUUUCUCCCUCCAUGCCUACUAUUUAAAACCCCUAGAACUCAAUGAUUUGACAAUGAUUUGAUUGCGCGUUACUUUCAAUUUGAAUAUUCAGAGGCAACCGAGUUAUAUCGAUUUUUCAACAAAAAUCACUACGCGUAGACAUUGUAUAAGCUCCACUUUAAUGUAAUAUAAUAGUAUUUUACACUUUGACCAAAAAGAAAGCAUACUUUUAUUAAUUUUAUCCUCCUUUUGCAAUAUCAGAGCAUCACACCCCCUCAUUAAGCACUACAGCACUAGGUGCUUCUUGUGCGCAACUUUAACACCAAACUUCACCUUAUAUCGGCGACCACACAUUUACUGCGGCCUCUCUACGUGCCAACAGUAUAUUCAAACAUAAAUUUAUGCUUUAUUUCUGAGAAAAACGCAUAAAAGUGGCAAAGAAGUGGGCGUGGCAAAGGGCAGCAGCCAUCUUUGGCAUCGCAGGCCUUAAGCUGCUCCAUAAGUGCUGUGAGUGCACUCACCUGCUGAAGGCUGCAGGGACAAGACUCGGCACCCCGAAACUUUUACUAUAUUAUCAUUUAUACACUUUGAAUUAUUAAGAAGAAAAAAUAAUUGUGGAAUACAGGAAUGCUCCCAGUAGAACCCCACAGCUUGACAGCUUUUUUGAAUAAAUAUUUAAAUCUAAUACACCUUCUUACCUCAGCACUAAAUCACCUUUAACCAAAUUCACCACACUUGAUUUAAACUAAAACAAAUUUAUUUUUAAAUCAUUUUUAAUGAGGCUGCACUCAACACUUUGGUGGCUCCAUCAGUGCAUCAGACACCAACAAUACAUUCACACCAGCCUGUGCAAAAUGCUACACUAAUUUAAAAUAUAUAUAUUACUUUAGAGUAUUUUGCUCAUGAAAAGUCACUAAAUUAUCAGUGAUAACGACAAAAUCAAACACAGCUGUAAACACCUGGAGCUGUCAGGUCUCUCAUAGUGCGCAAAUCAUAUGCAGAAUGUCUUUAUCUUAUUUAUCGCUGGGUGUUAACUGGGAUGUAAGUAAAGUUAAGAUGGGGUUUAUAUACUUAAUAUCUAAGAUUGUUGUUUAUUUAUCUAUAUUAAUGGUUGUAAAUAAGUUUGGGAUAGUUGAUGACAAUUUAAUUUUUAAAAGACAGAUGAAUAGUGAGAAGAGGGAAGGAUUAUAUUACAUCAGUGUGCACUUCUUCCUGCUCCUUUUUGAGCAUGUUUGUUGAUUUUUAAUUUAUUUAUUGCUCGAAAUUAAGUCAUUAAUUCAUUUAUUCAUUAAACCCCAGUAUUAUUAAUAAUGUUAUUAUUAGGCUAUUAUUAUAAUUUUAUUUUGUAUCUAUUUAGUUUUUUGUAGUUAUCAUGCCUGUUAUAAUUACCCUUUUAUAACUACAGCUAGAUGAAAGCCUAACACUGAUAUAAGUUACAGCAGCACUCAGUGGCAGCAGCUGUGUCUCCACUCUGUAAAGACUAUAUAUAAUAUAUAUAAUAUUUUGACCCAUGUCACAUGUUUGUGUUUCAUAUUCUGACACUCUCUGUUGAUCCGAAGCACAUCUCUUAAGGUUUCCUCUUCUCAUCCUGACACACAUGAGCUCCUUCAUCCUCUGCUCUCUGCUCCGUCUCAUUGCAGUCAUGGUGUUCCUCCCUCUUGUUGCAGAGCAGCGGCUCCUCUGCUCCUCCUGCAGCUGCGGUGUUGGCGCGCCACCUGCUGGUGUCAGAGCACAACGUCUCCCCGGUCUGUAACCCUGUGUGUAUCAUACAUUUACUUUUACAGGUCUAACAGCAUGAACUGGCUAGUAUUAAAGGUUUUUUAUGUUCACAACAAAUGUGAUUCCUGAUGAAAAUUAAAAUCCAUGUCAGAUACAGUUUUGAAAAUGGUCUGCUCUAGUAGAGACACACACAGUAAACUUAUUUAUAUACACUUAAAUUCAACCACUAUUCCCCCUAAUUCUGAAAAAACACUGGAAUGAGUUUCCAAAUUAAAAUAAAGGUGUUUCAUAUUAAUAGAAGCUCAUUAAAAAUGACUUCCACAUACAUCGAACAUUAAAAAGACUUUAGUGUUUCUGUUGAGACAAGAAAUCUGAACUCACUGCCUGACUGGAAAAGCCUGCAGAUUAAAGACAUUACGUCUUAAGGCCUUUUGGAUAAGACUUUAUUUUAACCCCCAUAUUUAUCAUCUAUAAACAGUUUAUACAAAUAAUUAUUAAAUGGUUUAUAACACACUGUGCUGUAGUUGCAUGCAGAUAUAAGGAUAUUUGUGAGUGUAAUUUAGUUUUUGUUUUAUUCUGUUUUAUUAUUUUUAAAUAAUCAUGUCGUCACCAGUUUUGAAUGAUUUUCUUAACAGUUUUAACACCUGUGAAUGUGAACACAGUUUAUAUAUUUGUUUCAAGACACUAUUAAAGUGUUUCUAUCUAUCUAUCUAUCUAUCUAUCUAUCUAUCUAUCUAUCUAUCUAUCUAUCUAUCUAUCUAUUAUGUGAUUCAUAAAAACUUUAUACUGACAGUAUAUCACAUCAGAAUUUAUUGUAAUUUCAUUUAUUUAUUUUUUUUCUUUGUUUUGAUGUUGUUCUCUGUAAAGUGUCUUUCAAUAUCCAGAAAAUCCAAUUUAUUAUUAUUAUUUUAUUUAUUUAUUUAUUAUUAUUAUUAUUAUUAUUAUUAGUCAUAGUAGGUAGUAGUAUUGUCUUUGUCGAAAACUAUAUCUCCUUCAUAAAGCUUUGGUGUGUAGACAGACAGCUGACAACAUGUAAGUUUUCUAACAUUUUAUCAUAAAUAAAUAAUCAUGUCGUCACCAGUUUUAAAUGAUUUUCUAAACAGUGUUAACAUAUCUGUGAAUGUAUAAACAGUUCAGACAUUUGUUAUAAGACACUGUUGGGUGUUUUUACAUAGUAAUUAUUGAAUCAUUUGUAUUUCAUAAAAACUUUAUACCAACAGCGUGUCACAUUUGAAUUUUUCCACUUGAUGCUUCACAAAUAUUGAUUUUAAUGUUAUUGUAUUAGUGCGUGAGUAUAUGUGCAUUAACCUCUUAAACGAUUUCUGACACAAGUCGCUGUAACCACACAUAUGGACCCUGAAAUGUGUGAAAAUGUGUGUUUGUAGCAUUUGAUGAGACGAAACAUUAAAGGAGCCUUUAUGUCUCA